rnacentral:misc_RNA from 1 species
AGUAGCAUUCCUCAUUGACACCAGCAUUGCAAGAUGAUUGCUAAACCUCAUUAGAUCUAGCCACCACCUUAAUACAACGCUGGACGUCGUUCAUUUCGAGCGAAUUACGCUAAUUUUGGGCAAAAAAGGGUCGUUCACCCCGUACCCAUUAGGUAUUCCGCAUCCGAGAGCACGAGCAACAACUCACGUGCCGCGACAACACCCAAGUUGAGUGGCGCGGAAGGCAAUUAUUGCUAUGUGGUUCACCGUAAGCAGCACAUUUAGAAGGGCCAGCACUAGGCGAACGUUGGAUGAUUUGACAACCGAAUUCCAUUGCAGUAGGUACGCAACACAGGAAACCCACAAUUACGGCCAAGGCUAAUGUUGCUCUUGAACCAAUAGGUGAAGAGGAAUUCAUAGGAGGUCGUCGCUGCCCAAGCAGGGAUCCAA